CCCAAAGUCUGGGGGUCAAAUGGAAAGAUUUAUAUUUUGUGUUGACUAUAAAUCCUGCAGCUACAAGCAUUGGUGAUACAGGAUCUUGGAGUUGGGAUGGUGCUCUGUAUGUUGGUGUAGCUCUCUGAGUACUGCUCUCAGGAUUGUGGCCUCAUUCAGUGCACACAAUGGAUACAGUUCCACUAGUGACCAUCCAUGCAACAUUUAGUCUAUUACUGGGUCUGUUUUUCAGCAGAUCUGCAGUAUGGUAUAUGUCAGCCAGAAGGUUCAAGCUGAGAUCACGUGGCACCCUGCUUCUCCUUGGGGAUGCUUCUGGCCACCUUCUUUCCUAGGGCCAUGCAGUUCUUCCCCUCAUAAUAAGAUGACCCUGGAGAAAGGUCCAGGGGGGACAGGUGUCUGUAGUCAUGCCCAGGUUGCCCUCUGAGUGGUCAGUAAGGAGCAGGACACCUCAAUUGCUCACACAGCAGAAAACAGUUCCAGCUGGCUACUUUCCCAAGGCAACUCCACAGCAUCCACACCUUCAGCUGACCACAAGCUACAUACAGGUACUCUGAAUAUUCCAAUGAGCAAGACUGACCCUACUGAGGAUGAAUAUGUUGGCUGUGUGGCCCUGUGGUGCCAGAGAGUUUCUGUGCUGCAGAACCUGUUUGAGCUACUUUCAAGGAAAAGUGUACCUUUCUGAAGAAGAAAGGUGAUGUAAGAUGCUCUCACCUGUGCUUGUGUAUGCCCACCUUACAGCAGAUUCCUGCAAGCAGCUGUGCAAAGCUGGCAGAGAAGGGGUGAACUGUGGUGCAGGAUCAAGCAGCCAGAGCACUGAAUUCACAGCCAAAAACAAACAAACAAACAAACAAA